GUCAAGCUGGCCCGCGAUAGUAGCCCGCAAUAAACUUAUCGACUAGUUCAGCCUUUCCGAAAUUACCGGAAGUAACUGAAACCGCGUGGUUUUGAACUGACAAUCGUACAGAGGUUAAGUAUUACAUAUAUUUUCUUCAAUAUGUCUGAAAAUUUUAAGUUGACCAUGUCUCUUGGCGGCGAUGGCCCUAGGAAAGAUACCGUUUCAUGUGGACAGUCGACUGUACAGUCGAAUGUCCAUAUGAAAAAGAAAUUUUCCAGAAUAGCCAUUGCGGGAUCAAGUCACAUUGCCCGUAUGGUAAAGGACGAAUUCGUCCAUGGCACCACUAUUACCGAAUUUAUUGGAAAGGGUGGUGCCAAGGUGAAUGAUUUACAGGCAUGGACUGGACAGCUGUUGAGGUUCAUGCCGGAUUUUUUAUUUGUUCAGCUUGGCGGGAACGACCUGGAUAGAAAGGAUUCGGCUGACCACGUGGCAGACGAACUCCUCCAUGCUUGUCGUUCCCUAUUAGCUUCAAUGCCUCACCUGACCAUAAGUAUUGGGUCUCAAUUAAUUCGCCAUCGGACACGGAAUAUUUCUCCAGACAUUUAUGAGCUGAAGAGAAUAUCCCUGAACGAAAAGCUGGAAUUCCGAACAGAACAUGAAUGUCCUCGGAUUUCAGUAUGGCGACACAAGAAAAUACCAGUCUCCUGCUAUGUGGAUGACGGUGUUCAUCUAAAUGACAGAGGCAAUAGGAGGUUCUACAUUUCUGUACGGGGGGCAGUUAUGAAGUUCCUUUCCUAAUUUUCCCAGACAGGACAAAUACACAGAUCAACAAUUAAUGCAAACCAGAUCUUUGCAGUCACAUUAUGCUUCCAUAGUUAUAUCUGGGCAGUCACAUUAUGCUUCCAUAGUUAUAUCUGGGCAGUCACAUUAUGCUUCCAUAGUUAUAUCUGGGCAGUCACAUUAUGCUAUUUUAUAGUUAUGUUCCCAUAUUGUCAUUAACAUUCGCCACAAUAUGGUCAUUAAUACCUUUGCCAGAAUGAAAGAUACAAUGAAUAAUAAAUUUGUACUAAGUCAUUGUUGACCUCUCCUUCAAUAAAUUAAGUGCUCAUCAUUGUUGAACAGGCUUGGUGACCCUGUGGAGUGCAGGUGAAAUAUGUUGCCUUUUUGUUGCUUUGAUGUUGCCACUGAACAGUAUUGUCACACUAUUGUGACCCUGUGGAGUGCAGGCAUGUGCUGUUGUCAUUUUUCUCAUAUUCGGCAUAUUUUCCAAAUUUGGUGUUUGUGACAUCUAGAUAAGUAAAUGUCAGUUUAAAAAUGGUUUGUUUGUUUUGCAUGUUGCAAUGUUUGUGCAACUCAUUUUCCUGCAGCUUGUUCAGGUCCAUCUUAAUAGCAAAUACACUGAUAUUUUACAAUCUUAUAAAUCACUAGUCUGGUGAAAUGGAAUAGAAGUUGGUUAAUCGAUUGUUAGUACAGUAUGGAUCAUGGUAAACCAUUAGUCUUGCUGUUGUCAUUUAAUCUGCUAUGCUGCCUGCUUGUUAUUUCAGCAAAAAUGCAAGUAGAGAACACUGUAAGCUCAUUUGGAUCACUUUUAGAUAAUAUUAACACAGCUGAGCAUUAUAGUAAGAAGACUGUUUUUGAGAUAAAUAUUCAACCAAUGUAGUUAAGGGCUAUUUUCAAAAAUAUGCAAAUUUUACCUCAAACUCGCAGUUGAACUAUUUUUCCUGAAAAUUGUCUUUCUGUUAUGUGCAGAGUUCUUCAGAGCAAUAUACGUGAUCUAAAUUAGCUUACUAUGUUAUCCUGAAAUUUGCAGUUUUGCUGAAAUUAACAGCAAGACUCUGGCUGGCCAAUGAUACACUAGAUUCAAAACAAUGGACUUCUGUUUGAUUGUAUUGAUAUAUAGGCUUGUGAAAUAUCACUGGAUAUGCUAUUACUGGUGUUUCAUCGUUCCUUUACCUGGGCAACAUUGAUUAUACGUAAUCAAGCUGAUGAUGCAACUUAAUCUCAUUUACUUUUGACUUCAAUAUUUUACUGUAUCCAUAUCUAUCACAAUGAUUGACUCUUUGGACAAUUGUGAAAGGAGUAUAAUUUUCUCACCAUCCAUCAGAUUGACACAUUAUCUUUUGCCAAUUCUACUUUAAUUUCACUUGUUCCUUUCUCCUUUUAGGUGUGAAAGCAAGGUAAAAGAUUCAUAUUGCCCCGAUGAUUAUAUGGCAUGUGAAGAAAUGGAUUUUUGUGAUGGGAUACCUUCAGCAUAGCUGUCUUUGAGUUGGAAGUGAGGCUAUGGACUGGUAUACCUUCAGCAUGGCUGUCUUUGAGUUGGAAGUGAGGCUAUGGACUGGUAUACCUUCAGCAUAGCUGUCUUUGAGUUGGAAGUGAGGCUAUGGACUGGUAUACCUUCAGCAUGGCUGUCUUUGAGUUGGAAGUGAGGCUAUGGACUGGUAUACCUUCAGCAUGGCUGUCUUUGAGUUGGAAGUGAGGCUAUGGACUGGUAUAUACCUUCAGCAUAGCUGUCUUUGAGUUGGAAGUGAGGCUAUGGACUGGUAUACCUUCAGCAUGGCUGUCUUUGAGUUGGAAGUGAGGCUAUGGACUGGUAUACCUUCAGCAUGGCUGUCUUUGAGUUGGAAGUGAGGCUAUGGACUGGUAUACCUUCAGCAUGGCUCUCUUGAGUUGGAAGUGAGGCUAUGGACUGGUAUACCUUCAGCAUGGCUCUCUUGAGUUGGAAGUGAGGCUAUAGACUGGUAUACCUUCAGCAUAGCUGUCUUUGAGUUGGAAGUGAGGCUAUAGACUGGAUGUACUUUUGGCACUGUAGUCUUUUUAAUUUCCUCAAUGUUAAUCUAGACUGCAUUGAUGAGCGUAUAGAUGCAGUCAAGAUGACAUGGCAUGAAGGGCAAAGUACAGUGAAUGUACUUUAUGCACUCAAUGAACAUUGUGUGAUCUGGUGAUUUUGAACAUUGUGGACAUUGGAAAUCUUGUGUUGUUGUUGGGGCUUACCAUAUACAUUGUUGUUGACUGUCCAAUCCAAAUGUGAUAAAGUCUUAACCAAUUAAAGCCACAGAUGAAACAGAAAUAAUAAAAUAAAUAUGACAUUAA